rnacentral:lncRNA from 1 species
CACAGCUCCCUCCUUCUCAGUGGCUGUUACUCGUUCAUCAACCACAAUCCACCAUCAGAACUCUCUCUCUCCGUACCCAAAAUCGGCUACUGCUCCAUCUACGCUGCUACUGUUGCCCCAUCUCCGCUGUUGCUGCUCCUGCUGCUCUUAGCUUGAUUUCUUUCUACUUACCUUUAUUCCUUGUAGGUCACAUUUUGGAAUUACAAGCAUAGAAAUUCUAUAGUAAUGAGCAUGAGGCAAAUUUAUCUAAACCUACCUUGGAAGAAAAAGGAUGGAUUUAUUGUGAAUUAGUUUAAUGUAGCCUAGAGUUCCUUAAAUGUUAAGUUAAAAUUAAGUACGUUUAUCAAUUAGGCUUGAACUUACAAACUUGAAAUUUAAAAAUAAAUAAAUUCCAUGAGUGUUUUUUUUGUUUUUUCUUGGAUUAAUUCCCUAUAAACUUGAUCUAUAAUCUACUAUAAGUACUACGUCGGAAUAUUUUACCAAAAGCAGGUCAGGACAGAGUGAUGUCUGUCACGGUUUUAUUGCUGCAAGUGCAUUAUUUUCUUUGUACUAAAGUGAAUCUUCGAUGUAUUUAUUAAGUUUAGAGGAGCAAUCUUAGUUAAUUUUGAUGAUUUAUAUAUGCAUUUAAUUUCAUUUUUAAUAAUUCAUGUGUAGGACAUAUGGAUUCUUGGCUUUGCUUAGACUUAUGGUUUGCACAAUUUUAUUUGGGAUCAAUCAGCUUCGAGGAUAAACACUUGUAGUUCAUUAUUUCUUGGGCAUGGGACUCAUCUUUUUUGUUCUCUAUUUCUGUGGUAGUAGUUUUAUGUUUUGUGUUGGCAGGGAAACUUCGUGAUGAAAUUUUGUCAAACUUUGCUGACGUACUCUAAUUACCUUGUUGCAUGGCUAAAGCAUAAGCUCAUAGUUGACAUUGUUGUCAUUAGAGCUUGUUUUCAUAAAAUAAGUGUAAUUUGAAAGUACGUUGUACACUAUUAAUUAGAUUUAUCUCCAACAAGUCUUAAUGCAUGAUGUCUAUCAUGUAAUAUAUUUUUCAUUAUUUUGUUUAAUUUAUAUAUGUUGUAAUAUAUAGCUUAAUAGUAGUGUAAAGUAAUGAAAAUGUAAUUUUUUUUAUUAAUGCUAAUACUAAAACUUUAUCAUCAUGUAAUUUUUUAUAAUUAUUUUGUUUAAAUUAUUUAUGGUAUGUUUGUGUAUUAAUUAAAUAAACAAUUAUUUUUGAACUAUGACUUAAAUUGUAAGGUUCAAUUCUCUCACCUAAAUAUAGUAGAAUUCAUUUUGAGCUAACAAACCCCUUUAAGUAUUAUAAUAAUAUUAAUAUAUAAUAUUUAUUUUUAAGAGAAGUAGUGACAUAAGUGAUGAUGCAAGAGAAGUUGUAGAGAUGGAUAAGAAUUCCAGAAACUAGUAAGGUAUUUAUGAAGGAUAAUUUCAACCAUUGAUCAAGAGUUAUGGUGGCAAAAUCCUAGCCAUCUAUUAGCCUUAAGGAAUCCUAUAAAUACCCCCUAAUCCCCUUUCAUUUUCAAUCCAACUUAGGAAUUAAAACAUUUGUUUAGGAGAGAAUCAAAGCAAUUGGUAAGUUUACUCUCCUUAUUUUCCAUGAGAUUUCCAAUCACUCUAUUUAGGGUUUAUAUUAGCAUGAUUUUAGAUUGAUACACAUUAUAAUACAUGAUUUAAGGUGUGUUUAGGGUUUUGAUUUAUUGUGGGUUUUAAUAAUCAACCCUUGGUGUAUUAAGCACACUGGAAAAAUUCUGGACAAUAUGAGUAUCUCGAAUUUAAACAUAUAUUUUCUGAAUUAUUUUACUUAAGAACUUUAUAUUUCUGAAAACUAGACAUGUAGGACUUAUUGAUUAAAUUUUGUUUCAUAAGAUUUGACUUUGUUUUCAAUUUUAUAUGGAUUUGUGAAUCGGACACUAAUACACUGGAAAACUGUGAUUCAAGCAAGGCAAUCAGAUUCAUAAACUUAUUUGUACUAUUAAAUGAACUCGAAACAUUCUUAAAUUUUAUAUAGGAGUUCAUACAUGUGUCUAGUUUUCCCGAUUUUAAUUUCAUAAUUUUCUGAUCAGUAUCUGAUUUUAUAAAAUUCUCAGAAUACGUUCUGCUCGGUUAAGACACUGUGAAACAGUUUUGAAUUUGUCAAGCAAUAAAUAGUUUUGAAAAUGUUUUACUAUCGGAUCCUCUUAGAAAUUUUAUAUGAGGUACCCAUGGAUGUCCAAAAUGGUUCUAUAGACUAUUAUGUCAUUUUGAGUUUUACAUUAAGAGUUAAAAUUUUAAGAAUCGGACUAACACGAGUAUGAAUUAGCAAAUCAGAUUCUUAGGAUAAGCUAUUAAUAGUUAUAUCUUAUAUUUGUUAAGGUAUUGGAGGUGAUUGAGACUUUUAGAGACUUAGAGGUGUGUUAGUGCAAAUCCCUUUAUCGAGGUAAGUAACUUUAUUCCUAAUAUACUGGAUAUGUAUAAGUAUUUUGAUAUUAUUAUAAGUAUAAAUGUUUUUAUACUACUUAAAAGAUUAAUGGAUUUUCAUAACAAAAUCAUUUUAUAAAAAUGUUUUCAAAUCUAAAUCCUUUUACCAAAAUAUUUCAUAAAUGCUUUUCAAUAUGUAAAUUAUUUUACGACAUGACUAUCUUUUAUAAUUUUGUCUAUAAAAUAUUAUGCAAGCCUAAAUUAUUGUUUUAGACUUUUAUGCAUCUGAUACGAAUGUUUUGUACCCAUGUCUGAUUUCAAUUAUUGAUGAUUGUAUGGGAUUUCUAAUGUUUUGACUCAUUGUCCAUAGUUAUUCUGAUUCUGAUUCUGAUCGUAAUAUACGAUAUAUCUGUCUGGACCAGUACUGGGUUUCUAUUCUGAGUAUGCACACAAUAUUCUGAUUCUGUUUCUGGCCGAGUCAUCGGGACUAUAGGUGACACUAUGUGACAUGAGCUCACUAUCUGUUUUAUGUGAAUGUGAUAUCUGAUUUACUUUCAUAAGUAACUAUGCUUUUGAUAUUCUGAGAUACAAUGAAUUUAUGUUAUUUUGUCGUGAUAUAUCGUAAAAGAAGGCUCGCAAUAUUUUUGGUAUCAGUUGGGCUAGUGUGUUAGGAAUGAAUUUACUUACAGAGUUGACGGCUCACCCCUCGUCGUUACUUUUUGCAGAUUAAGUUUCGUUUGAAAGGUGUGCCUAGCUUUGGAGUUAGUGAUUUCAUUUCCGUUUGC